CAUGAAAUUAGGGAACUUAUUGUCGCAUAUAACUCAUUCCCUCUCAAUCCCUUGUCCCUGUCAAUCUCGCGCCGCCUCUCUCACAAUAUCGAGCAUCGCACACCGGAGACGAAUCUCCAGUCAAUGGUCAGGUGGGCAAUUACACCCUAAGCAAGAUUACACGCUGUUUAAUUGCCCAGAUUUUCCCCCUCGUUUUUUAUUUAGUUCUGCGACUUUAGCUUCAGAUUACAAUAGUGUUGAAGAAGGUUCUAACUGUUCCAAUUUCACCUAUUUUAAUUCAGGAAAAGAGUGAAAGAUUCAGAAAGAUGAGAACAGGUCAAACCCUAAUGCAUACGACAAGUAGAAAGGUCUUUGCUCCUUUAGAAGCUAAAAUGCGUGCUGAAAGUGAAGACCCAGAUUCUACAAUGAGAGAUGAUGUUUAUAUUCGAGGACAUACACGAAAAAAUGGUGAACCUAUUGAUAAAUCAGCUGAGGAAACAUUGAACAAAAUAAGAUCAUGUUUAGAGACGGUUACCUGUCCAAGCCAACAAUCCCUUAAAGAUGAUGGUGUUGCUAGAGUACUUGGUCUAGAACAUCGAGAACGAGAAGAGGUCUUGGGUUCGGUGCGACUCCUUCAAAGUUGAAUGCUUUGGUGCACAAUCAUAACUUGCAAACUCAAGUACAAGAGUUGAUAGAUGAGAUUAAAGAACUAAAAGCCUUGUUUCAAAUAAAGAGAACGAGUGCUAAACAAGAAAAUAAUGUACAGGUAGCUUACAAAUGAGUAUUGCUGAAGUCUCAGCUAGAUUGAGCUCCACAAUGUGACAUUCUUCACAGAAGCUGACUCUUAUCGUAACCAUGCUUUCCAUGCUUGAGAUAUUUAGAGAAAGAACCCAAUAGUUAUCAAUCAAGUUCUAAACUUAGAAUAAUUAAUUAGUUUAAUUUUUUCAUCUAAGCUUAGAAUAAUUAAUUAGUUUAAUGUUGUUUAUCAUGGUAGCUUGUACUCAAAAAUAUUUUAAUUUUCAUCUUAGUUGAGUUGGAAUUAGAUUUGUAUAA